UACGGAGGAUGCAAGCGUUAUCCGGAAUGAUUGGGCGUAAAGCGUCCGCAGGUGGCUGUGUAAGUCUGCUGUUAAAGAGUGAGGCUCAACCUCAUAAAGGCAGUGGAAACUACAUGGCUAGAGUGCGUUCGGGGCAGAGGGAAUUCCUGGUGUAGCGGUGAAAUGCGUAGAGAUCAGGAAGAACACCGGUGGCGAAAGCGGCCAGCUGGGCCGUCCCUGACGCUGAGGCGCGAAGGCGUGGGGAGCGAACGGG
rnacentral:rRNA from 1 species